rnacentral:rRNA from 1 species
GGUAACCUGCCUUACACAGGGGGAUAACACCUGGAAACAGGUGCUAAUACCGCAUAAGCGCACAGGGCCGCAUGGCCCGGUGUGAAAAACUCCGGUGGUGUAAGAUGGACCCGCGUCUGAUUAGCUUGUUGGCGGGGUAGGGGCCCACCAAGGCGACGAUCAGUAGCCGGCCUGAGAGGGUGGACGGCCACAUUGGGACUGAGACACGGCCCAAACUCCUACGGGAGGCAGCAGUGGGGGAUAUUGGACAAUGGGGGAAACCCUGAUCCAGCGACGCCGCGUGAGUGAAGAAGUAUUUCGGUAUGUAAAGCUCUGUCAGCAGGGAAGAAAGAAAUGACGGUACCUGACCAAGAAGCCCCGGCUAACUACGUGCCAGCAGCCGCGGUAAUACGUAGGGGGCAAGCGUUAUCCGGAAUUACUGGGUGUAAAGGGAGCGUAGACGGUGAUGCAAGUCUGGAGUGAAAGGCGGGGGCCCAACCCCCGGACUGCUCUGGAAACUGUGUAACUUGAGUGCAGGAGAGGUAAGCGGAAUUCCUAGUGUAGCGGUGAAAUGCGUAGAUAUUAGGAGGAACACCAGUGGCGAAGGCGGCUUACUGGACUGUAACUGACGUUGAGGCUCGAAAGCGUGGGGAGCAAACAGGAUUAGAUACCCUGGUAGUCCACGCCGUAAACGAUGAUUACUAGGUGUC